rnacentral:tRNA from 1 species
GCCUGGGUGGCUCAGUCGGUUGAGUGUCCGACUUCGGCUCAGGUCAUGAUCUCGCGGUCUGUGGGUUCGAGCCCCACAUCAGGCC